rnacentral:rRNA from 1 species
CCCUUAGACGUCCUGGGCCGCACGUGUGCUACACUGACUCGCGCAACGAGUUUAUCCUAACUCGAAAGAGGUCGGGAAAUCUUGUUAAUACGAGUCGUGCUAGGGAUAGAUCUUUGCAAUUUUGAAUCUUGAACGAGGAAUUCCUAGUAAACGCAGUUCAUCAAACUGCAUUGAUUACGUCCCUGCCCUUUGUACACACCGCCCGUCGCACCUACCGAUUGAAUGGUCCGGUGAAGCCUCGGGAUUGUGGCUGGUUUCCUUUAUUGGAGGUCGGUCGCGAGAACUUGUCUAAACCUUAUCAUUUAGAGGAAGGUGAAGUCGUAACA